rnacentral:rRNA from 1 species
GACGAACGCUGGCGGCGUGCAUAAUACAUGCAAGCCGACCUUAGUGGCGAACGGGUGAGUAACACGUGGGAAACCGGCCCAUCAGAAGGGGAUAACACUUGGAAACAGGUGCUAAUACCGUAUAAUUCUGGAUGGACCCGCUGUGCAUUAGAUUGUUGGUGAGGUAACGGCUCACCAAGGACACGAUGCAUAGCCGCCCUGAGAGAGUGAUCGUCCACAUUGGGACUGAGCCACGGCCCACGCUCCUAGGGGUGGCAGCAGUAGGGAAUCUUCGGCACUGGACGAAAGUCUGACCGAGCAACGCCGCGUGAGUGAAGAAGGUUUUCGGAUCGUAAAACUCUGUUGUUAGAGAAGCGGUGUCUAACCAGACAGCCACGGCUAACUACGUGCCAGCAGCCGCGGUAAUAC